GGAUCCAUGGUGUAGUGGUUAUCACGUUUGCUUUACAUGAUCGGCGUUGCGACACGUGGUUAGGUGCGCAAAAGGUCUCCGGUUCGAGCCCGGAUGGGUUCA